rnacentral:rRNA from 1 species
CACGUAGGGGGGCGAGCGUUGUCCGGAUUUAUUGGGCGUAAAGAGCUCGUAGGUGGCUUAGUAAGUCGGGUGUGAAACCUCCAGGCUCAACCUGGAGACGCCACCCGAUACUGCUAUAGCUUGAGUCCGGUAGGGGAGCGUGGAAUUCCUGGUGUAGCGGUGAAAUGCGCAGAUAUCAGGAGGAACACCAGCGGCGAAGGCGGCGCUCUGGGCCGGUACUGACACUGAGGAGCGAAAGCAUGGGGAGCGAACAGG